CCCAUAUCGCCCUAUUGAACAGGCCGCCCCUGAAAGCUAUACCUCACGGAACAAGGAGCGAACAACCAUCACUGUAGACACAGACCUCAGUUAUUUAAUGAUAGUUAUUACAGACAGAUCUGGCAUUUCUCCGUCUGUAAAUUACUACUUACAACACAACUGUCCAAGAUAGCUAGCUAGCUACAAAGCUAACUGGCUAGCUACUGUAGCUAGCUAGAUAACUUUUGAUCCAGUUCGCCAGCAGACCACCACUCGCCAAAGAGACAGUAAACCAAAAGCAGCCACCAUUACUGUGGGAGCCGGAUAGAAAACGGUGGUACUCCAUUCCCAAACGUGAAGCUGCCUGACCCUUGCAUGAAGGACCAGAAAAAAGUUGGCUUAAGGAGAGGAAUGACAUGUAUGACAUUCUGGCUCUCAUCUCUGCUGAGACCAAGCAGCGCAGGCCAAGCUCUAGCAGUGGUCCUCUCUACAAGCUGUCCUGUUCCACUCCCCUUUGGCACCAGCUUCUGCCACAACAAAAGAGGAAUUCCUGCUGGAUACAAGUCAUUGAAAUGAUAUCACACACACAUACCUAUGUGCGCAGGCACUAACUCAUUCUGUCUUACACACACACAACACUUGAUUUCGGUGAGUGUAUAGUAAAGGCUUUGUCAUUAAAAUAAUAUUGGGCCUCUCUUUCAGAUCUGCCAAACACACCUCUGCCAGCCACACCACCACUGCCCUUGACAGCUUCUCCACUGGGCCCAUCAAGAGAGGAGGUUGUGCGUUCAUCUUGGACCACGGCCGAUGGACAGAGCCCAUUAGAGCUGCCAGUGAUGGGCUACUGGCCAAGCACCACGGGGAAGAAGAGAUCCUGAAGUGGGUGGAUCUGCUCUGCUCUUAACACCAACCCAGAGAAGCUCCUAAAGACACACAGCUAUGGCAUUAUGUUACUGCAGAGUGAAACGCUCAGUGUCCCAGUCAUGUACCCUGCCACCUGCACUUACACAGCAGAAGGCCUCACCAAUUCAAGUAUGCCAUUUGAAGAUUUUGCUGCCGCUGCCUUCUUUUAAUGGGAGCUGGAGGCCUUGAAGCAGAGGGGGGUAGUGAGGAAGAAGUGAACAGAGGAAAUAAAAAAUCCUCAGAGCAGCAUUCCUCCAGGCCGUCUGUAAAGUUUCUGCCACCAGCCGCUAAAACAAGAUCUGGCUUUCCCUUAUUGGCAGGAAAAUAUCGAGUUCCUAGCCAAAAUGUUUUCCCUGUACCUGGCACAGGUCAUUGGAGGGAGCUCCAACAGUCUGCCUUUUAUGAGACUGAAAAGCAGAGAUGGAUGGCGGAGAAGGUGGAGUGACUCUACAGACACACACAGAAAUAAAUAGGAGCUGGAAGUGGUUUGGACUCGUUUGAUUUGUAUUUAUUUCACAGUUACUGUCCAUUCUUUUACAUUACUGUACAUACAUUGUUGUAUAUCACUGUAUAUAUUAUUGUUCAUUUCUAUUUUGCGCAAUUGUUGCACAAAAACCAACAUUUUAUUCUAAUCCAGGUGAAUAUGUCUUGAAUUAUAAACACAUUUCUAUAAUUAGUGUGCAAAUAAGUUUGUUGUGCUCCAACACUAUCAUAAAUAUGGCUUUGAUGUCAUUAAAUUAAACCUCAACA